rnacentral:rRNA from 1 species
UCUACGGGUGGCAGCAGUGGGGAAUAUUGCACAAUGGGGGAAACCCUGAUGCAGCGACGCCGCGUGAGUGAAGAAGUAUUUCGGUAUGUAAAGCUCUGUCAGCAGGGAAGAAAAUGACGGUACCUGACCAAGAAGCCCCGGCUAACUACGUGCCAGCAGCCGCGGUAAUACGUAGGGGGCAAGCGUUAUCCGGAUUUAUUGGGUUAAAAGGGUGCGUAGGCGGACUGUUAAGUCAGCGGUAAAAGCCCGGGGCUAAACCCCGGCUAGCCGUUGAAACUGGCUGUCUUGAGAUGUCGAGAGGGAUGCGGAAUGCGCAGUGUAGCGGUGAAAUGCUUAGAUAGUGCGCAGAACUCCGAUUGCGAAGGCAGCAUACCGGCGGCGAUCUGACGCUGAGGCACGAAAGCGUGGGUAUCGAACAGGAUUAGAUACCCCAGUAGUC